CUUAACCAUCCAUAUAAGACCUUCCCCACGACCUCAUAGGUUCGUUGUCCUCGAGAUUUUAGGUUACAACUUCUACAUGAUCUUCCUCGCACAUCAUCUUCCUCCGGCGACCCAAACUUCGAGAUCAACUUCAGAAUUAUCUUCCUCCAGUGGCCAUAGGAUAUCUCUGUCGAGCAAUCAGGAAACAUCAAGGCCUCAAAGAUUAUGGCACAGACACCGUUGAAUUCAUCGACUACAGGAAACGAGACAUGGACAAUCAAAGUCAAGGUUUUAAGACUUUGGGACCCAAUUAACUUAUUAACUAAUGAACUCAUUAGCACUGAUGUGAUUUUACUAGAUAAAAAGGUGCAAGUAUUACAUGUAUAAUGUCUCUUCAAUUUACCCUUUCCAAAGUUUGCUGAUGUUUUCUCUAUGUAAGGUGAUGUAAUCCAUGCUUCUAUUUGGAGCAAACUGGUCGAUAAAUUUAAAUCAAAAAUUAAAGAGGUACAAAAUUAAGACCUUCAAAGUUUGGGAGUAUGAAAAAUACCGACCAUUGAAGAAAAAUCUCAAGAGAAGUUUUGUCUAUGAUACAACGAUGAAGGAAGUGGAUGAAGGAAAAUCCAAGUUUUUGGACUACCACUUUGAAUUUGCUUAUGGUGAUACCUUGGAUAGUAGGGUGAUUAUUGAUAAAUAGUGCUCGGGUACAAUCAAAAUCCAUAUCGAAGAACAAGCACCGGUGAACUAGAUUUUUAAGUAUGAUUAUGUGCAGAUGUCAUUGGAUUGCUUACUACAAUGAAGCCAAUAUAGCAAGUGCAAAAAUAAAUAAAGGGACGGGCAUGACGCAAACUUCAAACGUCCGUGAGAUUGAAGUCCUUUCACUAGAGUAAGUGAUUAUAUUCUAUAGAUAUUUUUGAAUUGCAUAUAUGAUCUUUAUAUAUCACUUUUUCAUGAUUAAAUGCAUGAAGUGGUGAGAUAAUCAGAAUCACGCUACGGGGGAAUAUUUGCAAAUAUGGAGAAUGAAAAGCUUUUAAACAAAUAAACAAUAGUGAUUGUCACUUCAAAUUUGGUCAGAAAAUUCAAUGGUGAGAACUAUAAUCUCUAUGUGUAAACCUGAAUCCAAAUUACUGACAAUUUAUUACCAGGGCUAUCACUACGCCCGACAAAUGCAUCUAAAGUCUUCCUGGACCCUGAAAUUCUAGAGACAGACCAAAUUAUUGAGAGGCAUUGUGAAAGCGAUGUUAUUCCAACAAUGGUUGGAAUUGACGAAAGCACCCAAGGAAUGAUUGAAGAGCAAAUGUUCUACAAUAAAAAAACAUUGAGGGAAAUUAUAGAACUAUGAUAUGUUGAUGUUAAAAGAAAGGAAUUUGUAUGCAGGACAAAAGCAACAAUUGAUGAUAUUAUAACAUAAACACCAUAACUAUAUUUGCACUUCCUGUCAUUAAGUAUCUGAAAAUCCCAACAUAAGGUACCUAAUUAAACUUGAAGGUACGCGAGGACACGACAACAACAACUUUCGUUAUGUUUAAUGAGGUAGCAAAGAGUCUUUUGGGCAACAUAUCUGCAUCAACCCUAUUAGAGCAGGAGGGAUUCAACAACAUAGUACCAGAUAUUAUUUAAGACCUUUAUGGCAGAAAACUCAUAUUCCGACUUAAGUUAAAUUCAAGGAAUCUAUAAGAGUGUACGGAAAAUUUUAAAGUGAGCUUCACUUUUGAAGUUGAUGACAGACUUGAGAUGGAAUAUUCAAAUGAAAUAGUUGAAGAGCGUAUACUGGAAAGGCAAGACACACAAGGUUCUUCAAAUUUUGCUAUGCAGAAGUCCGAUAACAAGGUCAACCACUCCUCCAAGAAUGCAAGAAAUGAUGAGAAGGAGGAUAUGUGCUGAAAGGAAACCUCUAAAUCAUCUCACAAAAAGCAACAAAGGAGGACAAAGAGAAAGAAGUCUAGCAAAAUAUAUGAAAAAGAUGUGACAAUGUUUGCUUCCAGAAAUAGCAGAAAACCAAUUGUUAAAAUCGAUGCUCCUGAUGACGAGCGAGACAACAAUAGUCACGCCGACAACAACUGUACCAGCACAGAUGACCGUAAUGAAGAAUGGAACGCCAAAACUAGAAGCAGAACAAAGAAGGAAAGGACCGAUUGCAUAAAGAGGAGGAAAAUAUCAUCUAAAGACAUGCAGCCAACCUUGUAUGAUAGACCUAAGAGGAUUAGGAGAGAACCAGCGAGAUACAUGGGCUAGGCAUUAUACAGCAGCAAGUGCUUACAUA